rnacentral:lncRNA from 1 species
UGGUACAAGGCGCAUGGAAUCAUCGAUACAUGCAACGAGGAUGAUGGUUCACGGUCUGGUGCAUCGUCAGCAGAAUGUAGAUUGACCGUUAUAGGAACUCUGGAUUUGUCAGGUGCACCAGCUUUCGAGCUCGAGGAAAAUGUGCAACCUGCAAGUGUGUCGGUUGGUUUCCCUACUGUUGAAAGUGUGACGGAUGUCAUAGAGAUGCAACCUGUGGUAAGAAGAGUGAGAUUUGCCAUUGAUAACGAAUCAGAAGUGGAUUCAUGGGGGGAAAUGGACGCUCAGCUGCAGGAGGAGCUAGAAGAUUUGUAUGCAGCACAACAAGCAGGGACAGCAUUCGUACUAGGACAUUCACACGUGAAAGCAAAGCAAGGAUCAUCUAUGUUGAAGAGGUUGGCUAUCAAUUAUGGUUAUAAUUUCCUUAGGAGGAAUUGCAGAGGUGCAGAUGUAUCCCUCAAGGUUCCUCCAGCAUCCCUUCUUGAAGUUGGCAUGGUUUACAUUGUUUAAGUUGUAAUACCAUCUCACUUUGCUCGUAUAGCUCUGUAUCUUAGUAGAACGAUCUUAUUUAGAGAGGUAAAUGUAAUUAUGCAGAUUACUGAAUUUAUCAUUUUGAUCUCUUACCUAUUCAUUUUGAUGCAUCAUUCUCGAAAUAGAAUUACAGAGAAUAUAAAAACAGCGCAAAUAUAAGAAAAAAAGGGCAGCUCGGUGCAUUAAAGCUCUCACUAUGCGCAGGGUACAGGGAAGGUCCUACCACAAGGGUGUGAUCUACGCAGUUUUACCUUGCAAUUUUGCUACUAAAAAAUGAAUUCUUAUCCCUCAAUUUUGUGGUAAUAAAUUAAGAUAUGUAGAAAGUAUCCAAAUUUCUUUUAAUCUUGUAAUCUUAAUCAUGUCAAGUGGAAAGUUAGAAUUAAAGUGUUGUCAAAAUGAAAAGACAUCCUUUUUUGUGAAUUUGACUCAACAAAAUUAACACAAACAAAUUAAAAUGUAGGAAUACUCUUUAUCGAUUUUAUUCAAAGAAAGCCUGUGCACCCUUCAAUCACCUGCUAUACCGACUUAAAGUACCUGCGUACCCUUGUAAAGAAUCAAGCAGAAGGGAAAAAUUUACGCCUGCAAUUGUGUCGGUUGUGUUCCCUACAGUUGAAAGUGUGACGGAUGUCAUAGAGAUGCAACCUGUGGUAAGAAGAGUGAGAUUUGCCAUUGAUAACGAAUCAGAAGUGGAUUCAUGGGGGGAAAUGGACGCUCAGCUGCAGGAGGAGCUAGAAGAUUUGUAUGCAGCACAACAAGCAGGGACAGCAUUCGUACUAGGACAUUCACACGUGAAAGCAAAGCAAGGAUCAUCUAUGUUGAAGAGGUUGGCUAUCAAUUAUGGUUAUAAUUUCCUUAGGAGGAAUUGCAGAGGUGCAGAUGUAUCCCUCAAGGUUCCUCCAGCAUCCCUUCUUGAAGUUGGCAUGGUUUACAUUGUUUAAGUUGUAAUACCAUCUCACUUUGCUCGUAUAGCUCUGUAUCUUAGUAGAACGAUCUUAUUUAGAGAGGUAAAUGUAAUUAUGCAGAUUACUGAAUUUAUCAUUUUGAUCUCUUACCUAUUCAUUUUGAUGCAUCAUUCUCGAAAUAGAAUUACAGAGAAUAUAAAAACAGCGCAAAUAUAAGAAAAAAAGGGCAGCUCGGUGCAUUAAAGCUCUCACUAUGCGCAGGGUACAGGGAAGGUCCUACCACAAGGGUGUGAUCUACGCAGUUUUACCUUGCAAUUUUGCUACUAAAAAAUGAAUUCUUAUCCCUCAAUUUUGUGGUAAUAAAUUAAGAUAUGUAGAAAGUAUCCAAAUUUCUUUUAAUCUUGUAAUCUUAAUCAUGUCAAGUGGAAAGUUAGAAUUAAAGUGUUGUCAAAAUGAAAAGACAUCCUUUUUUGUGAAUUUGACUCAACAAAAUUAACACAAACAAAUUAAAAUGUAGGAAUACUCUUUAUCGAUUUUAUUCAAAGAAAGCCUGUGCACCCUUCAAUCACCUGCUAUACCGACUUAAAGUACCUGCGUACCCUUGUAAAGAAUCAAGCAGAAGGGAAAAAUUUACCAAUGGUCGUUUUUUGGCAUGAUUUGAAUCGUGAUUACUGAGAUUGUUUCUCCAACUCUUGGACCAAUAAGUCAAGUCACAGCCCUUGCACAAAUCACAUACUUAUCCUGCACUUAAUAAUUGUCUCAGAGUCGUUAAAAAUAGAAAUGAGGCGCUAAAUAUUUUAGAUCCGUUGAAUGGCUCAUGAUUCUGACCGGAAGAACGUUGAACAAUCAAUAAGAGACGCAAAAUUCAUAUACCACAUGAAAGGCGAGCGGUCAAAGAUUCUCGCCACUUGUAAAUGGCCCCAUCAACUGAAAAAUAGUCAUUAAAUAGAUACUUUUUAUUAUUUAAGAAUUUUGUUUUUAAAUAAAAAUUUCAUUUUAUGUUGGAAUUAUACCAAAAAUUGAAGAUUAGAGAGAAAUUCUUCGACACAAAUUAGACGGUAACUAUGACAAGAAAAGGCAAGAGCAUAUAACUUUAAAUCACAGGAGGAUGUUGGAAAUAAUAAUUUAAAGUUAAAGUAGGAAUCUCAAUUCUUUUAGGAUUAAAUAUUUUUGAUAUUUAUUUAAUUCAUGUCAAAUUAGGAUUAAGAUUUAUUUGUCCGAUAAGUUUUGCAGUCCUAAUUUAAUUUGGUUAUGUCCUUUUAUAAAUAGGGGUGUUUGCUACAUAUUUUCUCAGGUUGUGAAGUAGCUCUCAUAUAGUAGAAAUUCAAGAGUUUUUGAGUUAUUGAAUAAAGUCUCCUACUUCUUGUCUCUUAUUUAAUUUUCUUCUAUUUAGUCAUUGUUGGAUCCUUCACUUGUGCUUAUAUCAUAAAGAAAUAAAAUCACUCAAAGAAAUAAUAUAAGCACAAGUGAAAGACCCAACAAUAUAUAUAUACAUAUAUAUAUAUAUAUAUAUAUAUAUAUAUAUAAAGGAGAAUGAUAGAUCUGCUGACAUGACGCUCUCUAAGGUCUACAAUCCUAUUUAUUUAUUUUUUGUGGAUUUUUUGAAUUUUUCCUCAUGCUAAAAUUAAUUUAUUGUACAUUUUAAAAUAAAAGCUACUCUCUUAAUUCUUUUAUUUACACCUCUUAAUUAUUAUAAUUAUAAUUUUUCAUCUCUUCUAUAAUCGUUACCUAUUCUUCACUGGGAUAUAACUAAAUAUUGUAUACAAAGAGAACCAAAAGAAUGACUAGAGCAGGUCAUUACACAUUUUGUUUCACUUUGAAUUGAACGUGGCACCCAUAUUUUUUUCAUCACUAUCCCUAAACACAUUUUUAACUUUCUUAUCUUUGAAAUCUAAUUAGUUCCUCUUAGAGAUUCCUUUCAAUUUUCUUUAUAAUCCAAUAUAUGUUGAGAGAUUAUCAACAUAAUUUAUUUUUAGUUUAAUUUAUAAUUUUAUUAAUCAAUCAAAAUAAAAUUCACACAAUAAUGGACCAACCUAUCCUAAAUAGUUCAACGGUAAAAGAAAAUAAAAAUAAAAAAUAAACAAAAGAAUUAGACCGGUCCAUCAGAUGACCCGACCCAAAAAAACAACAUAUAUCUAGAGUAGGGUUUCCUAAUCCGAGCUCAGUAUUGAGCUUCACUCUUCUCGCCUCUUUCCAUCAUGUUUCAUUUUGAGAAUCAAUAAUUCUUUCUGCUUCAGCUGUGGUACUGAAUUCCGUGCCUUGCUUGUACUUGCUUAGAGGUUCUUCCAGCUUGCAUAAGUAUCCCCCUUCCAUUUGAUUGCUGCUACUGAUAGUUGUACUUUGGUCCUAAUUUUGUACCUUUCUACCUAGUAUCGCAGUUGUGUUCUCUAAUGUAUGAGUACAUACUGUGGUUUUUGGUGCUAAAUCAAAGGGUCUAGUCAGCUUAGACUUGUUCCUUCUUCCAAGUGAGUUGAAUUCUCUAUUACCUUUACUAACUGAUUUAUAGAUUGUAAUUCUUGACCUAUCCUUCUUUAAACUGCAGAUAUGAAUGGUAUCGAGAUUGUGGGAUGCUCGGAACCACAUGUAUUUGGAAAGUAACAAGUAACUUAGCCGCCUGAAGUUAACAUCUGAUAUUGUGACCCCCCCAAAUUGCUGAGAGUCCUUUUUUGUUGGCUGGUGUAGUUAUGGUAAGUAUCAAUUUCACCUUUUUGAUUACCUUCUCAGGUUGUACAUAUAGUGCAUAUGAAAAACCUUGCUUUAGCUAACCCAGUCCCUUUACCCUUUUGAUGGUGAUAACCUCAAAUAUCGACAUUAUUGCUUAUCACUAUUAAGUAUUUUCCUGCCUGCACUUGUUAACUAUUUGAAUGCUGUAUAUAUGAACUCCUCUUGUUCCAUUGCUAAGUUAGUAAAAUAGUUUGCUAAUUGGUUACCUUUUCUUAAAAUAUGCUGAAAUUGCACAUGCUUGUUUGAAAGUAACUGUCAUAUUUGAUUGACCUUAUCUGGUAUACUUCAUGGACUCUCCCAUUCCUUAGUACUUUUUGCAUUGCUAAAGAAUCUGUUAGAAUGAUCACUUUGUCCUUCUUUGAUUGAUUGCAAUGUUUAGCUGCAUGUAGUAUUGCCAUAGCCUUUGCUUCCAUGUUGUUAGUAUCCUCUAUGAUUGUUCCUUCUUCAUGUAAUAGAUCACUAUGUAUAUCUCUCAAACAGAAUGCCCAUGAACUUUUCCUUGGAUUCCCUUUUGAUGCUCCAUCAAUGUUGUACUUUACCCAACCUGCCAUUGAAAACUCCCAUAACACUGUAAUGACUUUUAUCCUAGGCUUCAAUUGCUUAAAAUCCUGUAAAAUUACCAGCCAUUCAUAUGAGAAAUCCAUCUUUGGCUUUCUAACUUAGUUCCUUGUAAUAUUAAAGAUCAACCUCUGUGCAUUUACUCAUUUUCCUUCAUGUUUCAAUGCAUUCCUUCUUUUUCACAAUUCCCACAAAAUGAUACCAAGUUAUGUUCUGAAGUACAUCUUUUCUCUCUGUUUCACCUGAACAUCCCACCAUGUACAUAUUAUAUCUCUUAAGCCCAAUUCUUGAAUGUUAAUUCCUGUAAAUCAAGAAAAUAGGACCAAGUCCUAUUAACAAUAUAAGAUUUUCUUAGCACAUAAGACAUAGUCUCUUGUGCUGGAUUUUGGCAACACCAGCAUUUGGAAGGAACUUCAAAUCCCCAUCUUCUUAUAGUAUCAUCCACUGGAAUCUUUCCCUUUCACAUUCUCUACAUAAAGAACACAAUCUUAAAAGGAAACCCCUUUAUCCAUAAUUGCUUAUAAAAAUCAUUGAUCCCUUCUCUAUGUCUCACAUACCACCAUGCUGAUUUAACUGUAAACUUUCCUCGAGUAUCAACACUCCAUAUUGCUUUAUCUUUUUCUGUUGAUUGCUCUAGAGGUCUUAAUUUAUGAACUAUAUGAUCCACCGGCUCUUCUGAAAAUAAAUUCUUCAACAAGUCUUCAUUUCAGUUUCCAUUCCACACCAAAUCCUUAACAUAUUGAUAUCUGUCAUCCUAUUCUUUGUUGUUCUGCAUAAUAGAAUAAAUAUCUCCUACUUCAGUCCAAUUGUAAAACCAAAUAUGUGCAUCACCUCCUCUAAUCUUUCACUUUAUAAGAUGAUCAGUAAGAUCUCUUGCUAGUAGCAUUUUUUCCAGACUUGAGAUCCCCCCAUCUUCCAGAAAUCAUGACUCAAAUCUUUGUCUUACUUUUGAGCUAGAUGGUACACCCUAUAAACGUACUUAUCCACUAGCUAUAUGGACUCCUCUCUUGUAACGCCCCAAGACUACACCCUGGACAUCACACGGUGCUUACGACCCCGAAGGACCACAAGCUAACCCAUGACUGGUACCUGCUGUGAGCACUGAAUAAUAAUCAUGAAGUAUAUCAACAACAAAAACAAACCCAGCGUAUUCCCAUAAAGUGGGGCCUGUGGAGGGUAGACUGUAUGCAGUCCAUUCCGCUACCUCCAAAGAAGUAGAGAGGUUGUUUUUGAUAGACCCCCAGCUUAAGAUAGAGAAUAGUAAGUAAGAGCGUAAUACACCAUUAAGAAUGGUGGGUGGCAUAACAUAAAAGGAAUAAGACAUACUAAAAAUAAAAUAGAAAUCAGAGUAAUACAAAAUAAGAUAAAUAAGCGCAAUAUGAAAUAAGAGAUAAGAAAUAUGGCAUUCGAAAAGUAUUACCCCCACCUAUGGACACAGUCCUGGGAUUACUAACCCAGCUAUACAUGAGCUCUUCUACUACUAGCUACAACCCACGUACGCGACCUAGCCUUUUACCCUUAUCCGCGACCUCCGCAACUUCCUAUCUAGAGUCAUGUCCUCAGUAAGCUAUAACUGCUCCAUAUCAUGUCUAAUAACUUCCCUCCAGUACUUCUUCGGCCUACCUCUACUCCUUCGAAAUCCAUCCAACACUAGCCUCUCACACCUAUGAACUGGGGCAUCUGUGCCCCUCCUCAUCAUAUGCCCAAACCAUCUCAGCCUUCUUUCUCACAUCUUUUCCUCCACCGAAGCCACUCCCACCUUCUCCUGGACUAUCUCAUUUCGAACUAUAUCCUCUCUAGUAAGUCCACACAUCCAACGCAACAUUCUUAUUUCUGACACCUUUAAUUUUUGAAUGUGGGAGUUCUUGACUGGCCAACACUCUGCUCCAUAUAACAUAGCUGGACGGACUGCCACUUUAUAAAAUUUGCCUUUAAGCUUAUGUUGCACUUUCUUAUCACACAACACACCCGAGGCAAGCCUCCACUUCAUCCAACCUGCUCCAAACGAUUAGAGAUAUCCUCAUCAAUCUCGCCAUUCCCUUGAAUCAUAGACCUAAGAUACUUAAAACUAUCCCUCUUACAAACAUCCUGGGAAUCCAGCCUCACCACCAUAUCUUCCUCCUGCCUCAAGUCGCUAAAAUUGUAUUCCAUAUACUCCAUCUUGGACCUGCUUAACCUAAACCCCUUGGACUCUAGGGUUUGCCUCCAAACCUCUAAUUUUUUAUUCACACCCCCUCGCGUUUCAUCAAUCAACACUACAUCCGCAAAAAACAUACACCAUGGCACCUCCCCUUGAAUACAUCACGUCAACGCAUCCAUCACCAAUGCAAACAGGAAUGGGCUAAGAGUCAAACCUUGAUGCAACCCUGUCUCAACUGAAAAUUAUUCUGAGUCCCCUCCCACCGUUCUCACCCAAGUUUUUUCUCCAUCGUACAUGUCCUUAAUAGCUCUGAUGUACACCACCGGGACCCCUCUUGCCUCUAAGCAUCUCCCAAGAACCUUCCUAGGAGAUUUUUUAUAAGCCUUCUCCAAGUCAAUAAACACCAUCUUCGUUUCCCUAUACUAUUCCACCAAUCUCCUCACCAAGUGUAUUGCCUCUGUCGUUGAGUGACCGAGAAUAAAACCAAACUGAUUCUCUGAAAUAGACAUGAUCUUUCUUAAUCUCGGCUCUACCACCCUGUCCCAAAUAUUCAUAGUAUGACUCAGCAGCUUAAUACCUCUAUAAUUAGUGCAACUCUGAAUGUCCCCCUUAUUUUUAUAUAAAGAAAUCAUCGUACUCUACCUCUAAGCUUCAGGCAUUCUCGCCGUCUUGAAAAUGCUGUUAAACAAAUCAGUUAACCACCUUAACACUGCCCUACCUAAAAACUUCCAAAAAUUUACCGAAAUCUGAUCAGGCCCCAUCGCCCUUCCCCUCCACAUCGUACGAAUAGAUUUCCCGACCUUCUCAAUCUUAAAGCGUCUAUAAUAAUUGAAAUCAUGUCUCUCCUCCGAGUGUUCCAGCUCACCUAACUCAAUGCCUCUGUCCCCUUCCUCGUUCAAAAGCCUAUGGAAAUGCUCCUGCCAUCUCUUCUUAAUAUGGGCACCUCCACCAAAACUCUAUAAUCCUCCCCCUUAAUUCACUUCACUUGGUCAAGGUCCCGACCCUUCCGCUCCCUAGCCUUAGUAAGCCUAUACAACCUCUUUUCCCCACUUUUCUCCUCUAACCCCGCAUAUAAGCUCUCAAAUGCUGCUGACUUUGCUGCUGUAACUAUAAGCUUAGCCUCCUUCUUUGCUAAUUUGUAGACCUCCCAAUUCAUCCUCUUCUCUUCUGUAUCUUUACUCUCAAUCAACUUAACAUACGCCCCCUUAUUAAUCUCUAUUUUCUUUUUAACAUCUUUAUUCCACCACCAGUCUCCCUUAUGUCAUCCUGCCCGACCCCUCAAAAUACCCAACACUUCUCUAGCAGUCUCCGUGAUGUAACUGGUAGCCUUAUCCCACAUGGCAUCCACAUCUCCCCUACAAUCCCACACCCCUAAAACCACCACUUUCUCUUCUAUCUUCAGCGCACUAUCUGGAGUCAAGCCACCCCACCUAAUUCUAGACGACCCUCCUCGACCCUUCUUUUUUUUUCUUCUUUAUAAACAAGUCCAUCACCAGGAGCCUGUGCUGAAUCGAAAGAUGUUCACUCGAAAUGUUUUUACAGUCCUUACAUAAAACCCUAUCUCCUCUUCUUAGCAGCAUAAAGUCAAUGUGAGUCUUGGCUAUUGGACUUCAAAAGGUAAUCAGGUGAUCCUCCUUCUUCGGAAAGCUCGAAUUCACCUCCACCAACCCGAAAGCCUUUGCAAAAUCUAAUAAAGUUGCUCCCUCCUAAUUCCUAUCACCAAAACCAAAACCUCCAUGCACAUCGUCAUGACCUCCUAGUAAAACCCCAGUGUGCCCAUUGAAGUCUCCGCUAUGAUAAUCUUCUUCGAACUAGGCACGCCUCUCACCACCUCAUCCAAAGCCUCCCAAAACCUCAAUUUCACUUUCUCUCCCAAGCCCACCUAUGGAGCAUAAACACUACACACCCAAUGACCAACUUGAUCGUUAUCAACCUACCACAGACCCUUUUUACCUCCACCACAUGUGCUCUAAGCUCCUCAUCCACUAAGAUCCCACACCAUUCUGAUGCCUGUCACUUCCUGAUUACCACAGCUUAUACCCAUCCACAUCCCUAGCUUUAGACCCUACCCAUUUAGUCUUCUAAACACAUACAAUAUUAAUCUUCCUCCUCGUAAGAAUCUUCACCAGCUCUAUGGACUUACCCUGAAGGGUCCCUAUAUUCCAAGACCCUACCCUCAACCUAGCUACUCUCGCCUCUCGCCUAUAUCUACCACCACUCAACUCCCAAGCCCUAACACCUAACCUAAACCCCACACCUACCCCUGACCGCCCUUCUUCACCCUCACGCAAAAUCGACCCCAACCCUAACCCCCUCGAACAUAACCCUAUUCCACCAUCAACCACUACAUCCACCACUUAAGGCCAAAACUAAGCCCAAACAAAGCCUCAAGCCCAUAGAAAAGUAGAUACCAAAAACAAAGCACCAAUUGGAAAGAAGAAAAGAAAAAGAAAGAAAACAGUAAAGAUCCAGUAUUCAGUCAUAAAAUACCCAAUCCAGCCUAGCAGCUACAACAAAACACAGAUAUCCACCAAUAAGCUACAGCAAACCAAUACAAACUAUACUCACAAGAAAAUAAAACAAUACAAACGAAAUGGUAAAAUAAUAACUAGUAAAAGUAUGUAAAUAUCAAAGCUUAGCUAUCACCAGGGUACUCCUGUGUGGUGAUAGUAUCAUCAAUUUUGCUUUCUAAGUUGUUUGCUAAAAAUAGCAUCGCUAGAAAGCUGCCGCUGGAGCACCGCCGGCUAUUGGCUGUCGUUGUCGCUAGAGCUUCAACUGGGCAUAACCAGUUCUGCAUUCUGGGGAUGUCACCAAAGUUGUGCUAGUGAAAAACCUAGUCUUUCCAGCUAUAACAAUGACAGAUAGCCAAGAAGGAGGAGGGAGAGAGAAAAGUCACUCUGGAAAGAUAGGGGGAGAGAGAGAGGGGGAGAAGAAGCUCGAGAGAGAGGGUAAAUAAUGUAGACUUACCUGUCACUAUCGCCGGUGCCGACUGCUUGAUCAGAGAAGAAAGACGUUUGGUGAAACGUUAUUGUAACAUUAGUAAAGAGAGAAAAAACACAAUAGAUGAUCCAACAUUGAACAAUAAUCAUCUAUCUCCAAUAAUCAUAAAGUAUAUGCGAAAGUGAAACUAAAAAUGCCAUAAGGCUCAUAAAACUAAAUCAAAACUGAAUACAUCUAUAGAAUAACUGCUAACUAAUAAUGUCUGAAGUCCUCUAAACAUCUGACAUAAAAGAGUUGAUGGGACAGGCCUCAACUAACUUAAAACUAUUUCCUGAAAAAAUUGAAAUACUGAAAUAAUGCAAAGACAAAAUAAGUAUCGCGUCCUCGAUGGAUGAGGACUCCCUACUGUAACUGCAGCUAAUCGAUUGAUCAGGAUAAGUACAGUUAGGAACCCAAGCGUCCAAACCUAUGAUAUGAGAUAUCAUAGCACAAAUAGAGAGUAUAUGUAAGUACUUUGAAUGUACUUGUAUGCUAGGUGAGGUUAGGAUAAUAAGCAUGGUUUCGUGUGCAUGGGUAAUAAUAAUAACUAAAUAUCAUGAAGUGACUGGAUGAGAGUAUAUCCAAGGCUGGGACUACUGAAGGUAAUGAACCUGUAAUACCAAGCAUAUAUCAUUUGUCUGAAUUAGAAUAAAACUAAAGUACUAAAUUUUUUAUAACUGAUUACUGAUAACUAAAAUUUAUGAUCGUGUAGAACUCGAACUGAGUUCUAUACUGAAUGUUGAAUACUGGAACUGAGACUAUGAGAGUUAUCAUCUAACUGACAUACCCUGAUUAUUGACUAAUUUGGGGUCCAACAUAUAACCCCAGUUGGAAGGGUGUUAGCACCGUACCACAGGUUACUAACACUGUCUGGGUCAACUCUAAUCUGGCAGAAAGACUCAUGAGAUGUAUAUGGUUACGUCAACCCUAGUUUGACAAAAAAAUGAUUUACACUAUGCUGGCUAUGUAGUUCUGUAACUCAGGGACUGCUACUAAGGGUCAAACCCUAUACUAGCAAGAAUCCUCCAUCCCUGUAUUCGUUCGAUGCUGAAUCCUACUCCCAACUGAAUCAACAUGGAUCACUAGACUAUUCUGAGCUUGACUGAACUUACGUCAAUUCUAUUAACUGACUCAAUGCUACUAUUCGGGAUACUACAAAAUCAUUCUAUUACAACUGGAAACUAAGUAAGUAGCAAAUAAUGGACUCGAUAGAAUAAAUAAUGGAACCAUAUCACAAGUUUAAAAGUAUUACAAUUAGGAUAUCAUGCACAAUUUGUUCACAUAGACAUUUUGUCAAACACUUAGGGAGCAUGGUUCUUUUACAUGAGAAAGAAUAACAUGGGGAUAUCAUGACUAUAAUAUUUAACUCAAAAUUCAUGGGUUAUGACAUGAGGAGUACAUAAAUCAACACACAUGCUAGUUUAUUUACUUGAAAUUCAUAAUCUUCUUAGUUUGAAAUCUACAAAAUCAACACAUACAUGAACACAAUUUAAUUUAAGGAUGUGAUUCAUAAUUAAAAUUCUCAAAAGAAGGAUUUUUGAAUUCCAAGGGUGGAAGGAACCCAAGGAUGAAUACCAAACAUACCUUGAUUUCUGAAUCUGUGAGAAUUGAUGGUGAAUUAUUGAGCUUUGAUCUUGAAUCUUAAAGGGCUAGGGUUUGUUCUUAAAAGAGGGCCACCAUAAUUUGAGUAAAUUGUGAGAAUAAUGAACAAAUAACACUCUUUAGGACUUAAAUCCUGUGUUUGGACUAAAUGGGGUGAGGGAAAAGGACUUAAAUGUCCUUGGGAAUUAAAAAUGCAAAACUAAACUCAAAAUCCUGACUUUGACACCCGGUGCAAUGCGGUGCAACCGUGUCGGGCCAUUGGAAAAGGGACAAUCUUGAAUUUACCCUACGGCGCAAUGCGGUGAAAUCGCGUUGAGCCACUGGAAAUGGACAAUUUUGAAAUGGCACCUUGGCGCGAUGUGGUGCCAAUCGCAGUGACACACUGGAAAGUGACGAUCGCAAAAAUGACCCUUGGAACGACGUGAUGCUUGUUGAGGUGACACAUUGGAAAAGGAAGAACGUGAUUUUGGCAAUCACCGCGAUGCGGCCUUAUCGCGUUGGGCUACUAUUUUUCACUAAAAGUGUCAUAACUUUUCUCCCGAGUAUCGAAUUUAGACAAAAUUGUAGACAAAAUUGGUAUCAUUGGAAAGCUAAUUCGAUUUCCUGCAGUUUGGUAGGUCUUGAGCUGGAAAAUUCUCAAUAGAGAAAAAGAUAUACUUGUUUGAAUUUCACUAAAGAAACAUUCUUAUAAAAAAUUCUAGCUAGGAGUUAUUUGAGGCCUUAAUAUACAUCAAACCCAUUCAUAACACUACCAAAGAACUAUAAUGUUCUAUGUAUGAGCUUUAAACAUGGAUCUAACAUUGGUUUGGAUUUUUUGAGGUAUUGCAAUAUCUCUCCCUUGGAAACAUUCGUCCUUGAAUGAGAUUGGUUAAGCUGAAAACACUGAGGAACUUAGGUUACAUGCUGGAUAUACAUGAUGAAAAUAUGAUUACAUAACUGAGUCUGAAGCAUAACACAUGAAUGAACUGGUUCUUUGAAUGCAUGAUUGACAUUAGAAUGAUAUACAGCUUAAACUGAGCAUGGAAAGGAAAAAUUAGAAGAAAAUUGUUACCUUACGCUAAAUUUGAGGUUGUGAAGAAAAGAUGAGGGUAAUUGGUCCAUAUAUCUUCUUUUGCUUUCCAAGUGGCUCUCUCAACGGACUGGUUCCGCCAAAGAACUUUGACUAGGGGAACUUCUUUAUUCCUUAGUCUACGAAUUUGAUGAUCGAGGAUCUCGACUGGGACCUCCUCGUAAGAGAGACUAUUUUGAACAUCUACACUCUCUACGGGGACUACAACUGCUGGGUCACCUAUGCACUUAUUUAGCAAGGAGACAUGAAACACUGGGUGCACUGAUGCUAGGUCUGCAGGCAACUCAAGUUCAUAAGCCACCUUUCCAAACUAGCUCAAAAUCCUAUAAGUACCAACAUACUGGGGACUUAGCUUCCCCUUCUUACCUAACCUCUUCACUCCCUUCAUGGAAGAGAUCUUUAUAUAUACGAAAUCCCAAUCUCAAACGUAAGGUCUGUCUUUCUCACAUCUGGAUAAGAUUUUUGUUGGCUUUUGGCUGACUUAAGCCCCUUCCUGAUCAACUGUACUUUCUCUAAGGCAUCAAACACCAAGUCAGGCCCCAUACCACAGCCUCAUCUACUUCAAACCAACCAAUCUGAGAUCUAUAUCUCCUUCAAUACAGAGCUUCAAAUGGAGCCAUUUGAAUAAAGGAAUGGUAACUAUUAUUAUAGGAGAAUUCAAUCAAAGGCAAGUGGUUGUCCCAACUGACCUUAAAGUCUACUACACACACUCUCAACAUAUCCUCAAAAGUCUGAAUGGUCCUUUCUGUUUGACCAUUUAUCUGAGGGUGGAAGGAUGUACUGAGGUAAACUUAGGUACCAAGAACCUUCUGAAAAGCUUUCCAAAAGUGAGAGGUUAACUAUAUACCUAUAUCUGAGAUGAUGGGUAAUGAGACACCGUGCAACCUAACCAACUCUCUAAUAUAGAGCCUGGCAUAGUCCUCGGCUAAAAAAGAAGUAUGGACUGGCAAGACAUGGGUUGAUUUGGUCAUCCUAUCUACAAUGACCCAAAUUAAAUCAUUCUGACGAUGAGUACGAGGCACACCUGUCACAAAAUCUAUGUUCACUUCCUCCCACUUCCAAGUGGAAAUACUAAACUCCUGCAUAGACCCAUGGGGAUUCUGGUACCUAAUCUUCACCUACUGACAAGUAGAGUACUUAGCCACAAGCUCUAUAAUAUCCCUCUUCAUACCACUCUACCAAUAGAUUUCCUGUAGAUUGUGAUACAUCUUCGUGGCCCCUGGAUGAGUAGAGUAACACACACCAUGCUCUUCUGCAAGAAUUCCCUAUCUCAACUCAUCAACACAUGACACAUAUAGUCUACCCUGGCAACGCAACAAGUUAUCUCCCCCUUUGGAGAAAAUCUCUACUCUCUGAUCUCUGAAUAACUCUUUUAAUUUAACUAAAUUAGGAUCCUGACCUUCUUUUCUUUUACCUUGGCAACUAAAGAAAAUUUCAAACUACUCUGCACCCAUAUGCUACCCUCAGCUAAAUCAACUAAUGAAACACCUAAUCCGACAAGCUGAUGAACUUCCUUAACUAACUUCUUCUUAUCAUCCUCAACAUGAGCAACACUACCCAUGAACAAUUUACUUAGGGAAUUUGUCACUACAGUGGCCUUGCCCGGGUGAUACAGAACACUUAUGUCAUAGUCUUUCAGUAAUUCUAACUAUCUUCUCUGAUGCACAUUCAAAUCCCUCUGUGAGAAUAAUUAUUGCAAGAUCCUGUGAUCUGUGAACACAUCAACAUACACCCUAUACGAAUAGUGCCUCCAAAUCUUUAAGGAAAACACAAUAGCUACUAACUCAAGAUCAUGGGUAGGGUAAUUAUUUUUAUGAGGCUUAAGCUGUCUAGAGGCAUAGACCACAACCUUACCCUUCUGUAUCAAAACACAUCCCAAACUAACUCUGGAAGUAUCACAGUACACAACAAACCCAUCUGAACCAUUUGGUAACGUCAAAACUAAGGAUGUGGUGAGUUGAGUUUUCAAAUCUUGAAAACUCUUCUCAUAAGAUUCUAAUCACUGAAACUUAACUCUUUUUUGGGUCAAUCUGGACAUGAAAACCCUUCAACAAACCAUUGGUAAUACCCAGCCAAACCCAAGAAAGUCCUAAUAUCUGAUAGAGAAAUGGGUCUAGGCCAGUUUCUCACUGCUUUAAUCUUUUGAAGAUCAACUCUAAUGCCAUCACCAGAAAUAAUAUGGCCAAGGAAAGCCACUAACCUUGGCCAAAAUUUGCACUUACUGAAUUUAGCGAAUAACUGAUGGGCUCUAAGAGUUUGCAAUACUAUUCGGAGGUGGUUUGCAUGAUCAUUUUUGUUACGGUAGUAGACAAGGAUGUCAUCAAUGAAGAAUAUGAUGAACAUGUCCAAGUACUGCUUGAACACUCAGUUCAUCAAUCCAUGAAGGCUGCGGGGGAAUUUGUGAGAUCGAAGGACAUGACUAGAAACUCAAAGUGACCAUACCGAGUUCUAAAAGCUAUUUUCAGAAUGUCACAUUGUCUGACUCUGAGUUGAUGAUAGCCGGAUCUGAGGUCUAUCUUAGAAAAAUAAUUGGCACCCUAAAGUUGGUCGAAUAAGUCAUCGAUUCUAGGAAGUAGGUAUUUGUUUUUGAUUGUGACUGUUCAACUGGCUGCAAUCAAUACACAUUCUGAGAGAACCGUCUUUUUUACAUACGAAUAGGACUAGUGCACCCUAUGAGGAGUUGAUGGGCCUAAUGAAUCCCUUAUAUUGGAGAUUUUUCAACUGUUCUUUUAAAUAUUUGAGUUCGGCUAGAGCCAUUCUGUAUAAUAGAAUAGAGAUAGGCUGUGUAUCUGGAAGAAAGUCUAUUCCGAAGUCAAUUUUUCUUUCGGGAGGAACUCCGAGAAGAUCUUAAAGGAAUACAUCUGGAAAUUCCCUUACUACUAAAAUUGACUCAAGAUUUGAGGUCUCAAAAUUAGAGUCUUUGACUUAGACAAGAUGGUAAAUACACUCCUUGGAUAUCAUCUUUCUCGCUUUAAGGUACAAAAUAAGCUGACCCCUAAGCGCUGUAGUACUACCCUUCUAUUUAAGGACUGGUUCACUUGGAAACUAAAAAUGAACUACUCUAUUUCUACCAUCGACUGAGGCAUAAUAUAAGUGAAGCUAAUCCAUGUCAAAAAUGAUAUCAAAAUCCAUUAUCUCUAGCUCUACAAGGUCUGUCGAAGUAAUUUUCUAAGAAACCAUAAUCAGACAGUUCCUGUAUACCCAUCGGACUAUGAUAGAAUUACCCACUGGGGUAGUGACUCAAAAAGGCUUUAUUAGGAUUUUGGGGCUGACUCUGAAGUUGACAGCUAUGUAAGGAGUUACGAAAGACAGAGAAGCUCCAAGAUAUAACAAAGUAUAAAUAUGUAAAUGAAAGAUUUACAAUGUACUAGUAACCAUAUUUGGAGAAAUCUCCUCAACCUAUCGGGACUGAAGUGCAUAGAGCCUAUUUAGGCACUGCCCACUGGUGGCAUAGGAAGCGGCAUCCCUGCUGAGAUGGGUGACCAGAUUGAAUUGAGGGACAAUUAUGUUGACUCUGUGAACCCAUUUGGGGACAUCCUCUGAUCUUAUGGACUGGCUUACCACAUCCAAAACAUAUACUGUUGUCGUCCCUGUAGACAUCCUGAUGGUUUCUACCAUAUUUCUGAUAAAGUGGAUUUGUACGACAAUUCUUUACACUGCCUUAGGACUUAGAGCCUAGCGCCCUAUCCCUAUUAUGAUUUUUGAAUUUGGGUACUAGGGCACUAGCUGAAGAUGGGGCAGGAGAUGAAGAUUAUGGAUGAAAUUAAGGACAGUUACCAUCUUCUGACUUUGGCUGAGUAAAAUUGAAGCUACCUGUUCUAGCUUUCUUGUUCUCUUUCUCCUUCUUCUUAUUCUUCUGCUCCUCAAUCUAUUGAGCAUGGAAUAUAAGCUUAGAUAUGUUCGUCUCCUUAAUUAACAUCGCAGUCCUACACUCUUUGACCAUACUGUCAGAUACCCCAGACACAAACUUUCUCAUCCUAGACCUGCUAUCAGCCACCAUAUGAAGAGCAUACCUAGCUAGCUAAGUAAACUUAAGGGAAUACUCCUUCACACUUAUUUUUCCCUUUCUCAAGUUGUUAAACUCUAACACUUUGUCUUUCCUCAGCUCCAACGGGAAAAAUCUAUCUAAGAAGGCUGUAGCAAACUUCUCUCAUUCUAUAGGCCCUGUAUCUGCGCCUCUAUCCUCUUUUCACUGCUUAACUAGGUAUAAGUUACAUCUUACAACUGAUAGACAGCUAAAUCAGUACUCUCACUAGCAGUUACCCCAUAAUGUUUGUUACCUUAUGAACCAUGUCAAGAAAUUCCUGUGGAUCUUCCUCAUACUUAUAUCCUAAAAAUGAAGGAGGGUUCAUUCGGGUGAAGUACCGAAUUCUAGCUGCAGUAGUAUUGGCCACUGGGUUGUCCUGAACAGCAGCUGGUCGAACAUUCUGAGCUACCAAAGAAUUGGCUACGGUUGUGAAUAUUACUCUGAAUUCUGCAUUAAAAAUGUGCUCAUUAAGGGGAUCUUCCUGAACAGGCGAAGGUACUGUCUAGUUCCAAUUUCUUUUUAUGUUAGUCUUUCUGGGAGGCAUGUUCUAUAAAUGGAAGGGAAAGUUGGAUUAGAUAGAGAAUUUAACUUGAGCUCAUGCUCACUCGCAUAAUAUAAACACUAAAAGAAGGGAACUUUUCCUAAAAUACCUCAUAGCCUCUUGCACAUUAGUGUGGUGCGCUUCACACCAAUGCACAAGACUCUACUUGACGCGACUCUCAAAUUUCCUAGGAUACCUUAGAACCCUAGGGUUUGAUACCAAGUUUGUAAUGCCCCAUGACUAAACCCUGGGUGUCACACAAUGCUUACGACCCUAAUGGACCACAAGCUAACCCAUGACUAGUACCUGCUGUGAACACUGAAUAGUAAUCAUAAAGUUUAUACGAAAGUAAAACUAAAAAUGCCAUAAGGUCAUAAAACUGAAUCAAAAUUGAAUACAUUUAUAGAAUAACUGCUAAAUGAUAAUGUCUGAAGGCCUCUAAACAUCUGACAUAAAAGAGUUGAUGGGAUCGGCCUCAACUAACUCACAACUAUUGUCUGAAAUAACUGAAAUACUAAAAUAAUGCAAAGACAAAAUAAGUAUCGCGUCCUCGAUGGAUGAGGACUCACUACUAUGACUGACUGAUCUGUCUAAGUACGGUCAGGAACCCGAGCAUCCAAACCCAUGAUAUGAGACAUCAUAUCACAAAGAGAGAGUAUACAUCAGUACUUUAAAUGUAUUGGUAUGUUAGGUGAGGUUAGGCUAAUAUGCAUAGGUUCAUGUGCAUGAGUAAUAAUAAUAACUAAAUAUCAUGAAGUGACUGGAUAAGAGUAUAUGCAAGGCUAGGACUACUGAAGGUAAUGAACCUGUAUUACCAAGCAUAUAUCAUCUGUCUGAAUUAGACUGAAACUAAAGUACUAAAUUUCUAAUAACUGAUUACUAAUAACUGAUAGUUAUUAUCGUGUAGAACUCAACUGAGUUUUGUACUAAAUGUUGAAGACUAAAUAUUGAAUACUGGAACUAAGAUUGUGGGAGUUAUCAUCUAAUCAUCAUACCCCAAUUAUAGACUGAUUUGGGGUCCAACCUAUAACCCCAAUUGGACGGAUGUUACCACCGUGCCACGGGUUACUAACACUGUCAGGGUCAACCCUAAUUUGGCAAAAAGGCUAAUGAGAUGUAUAUAAUUACGUCAACCCUAGUUUGUUAGGAAAAUAAUUUACCCUACACUGGCUAUGUAGUUCUGUAACUCAGGGACUGCUAGUAAGGAUCAAACCCUAUACUGGCAGGAAUUCCCCCAUCCCUAGGUUUACUUGAUGCUGAAUCCUACUUUUAACUGAACCGACACAGAUCACUAGACUAUACUAAGCUUGACUGAACUCACACUGAUUUUGUUAAUUGAUCCAAUGCUACCAUUUGGGAUACUACAGAAUUAUUCUAUUACGACUGGAAACUAAGUAAGAAAUAAAUUUCAGGUAUAAAAUACCCCCAGGACUCGAUAGCAUAAAUAAUGGAACCAUAUCAUAAGUUUAAAAGAAUUACAAUUAGGAUAUCAUGCACAAUUUGUUCACAUAGACAUUUUGUCAAACACUUGGGGAGCAUGGUUCUUGUACAUGAUAAAUAAUAACAUGGGGAUAUCAUGACUACAACAUUCAGCUCACAAUUCAUGGGUUAUGACAUGAGGAGUACAUAAAUCAACACACAUGCUAGUGUAUUACCUGAAAUUCAUAAUCUUCUUUGUUUGAAAUCCAUAAAAUCAAGACAGAUAUGAACACAAUUCAAUUUAAGAAUGUGAUUCAUAAUUUAAAUUCUCAAAAAAAGGAUUUUUGAACUCCAAGGGAGGAAGGAACCCAAGGAUAAACACCAAACAUACCUUGAUUUCUGAAUUUGUGAGAAUUGAUGGUGAAUUCUUAAGAUUUGAUCUUGAAUCUUGAAGAGUUAGGGUUUGUUCUUGAAACAUAGGUACUUUAAUUUGAGUAAAUUGUGAGAAUAAUGGGAAAAUAAUGUUCUUUGGAACUUAAAUCUCGUGUUUGAAAUGAAUGGAGUGAGGGAAAAGGAAUUAAAUGUCCUUGGGAAUUAAAAAUGCAGAACUGAACUCAAAAUCUCGAUUUUGACACCCGACGCGAUGUGGUGCAAUCACAUUGGGCCACUGGAAAAGGGACAAUCCCAAAUUUACCUUGCGGUGCAACACAGUGAAAUCACGCUCUAGAAACAGACAAUUCUGAAAUGACUCCUUGGCGUAAUGUGGUGCCAAUCGUGGUGACACACUGGAAAGUGACGAGUGCAAAAAUGCCCCUUGGUGCGACAUGGUACUUAUAUUUGUGACACACUAAAAAGUACGAACAUGAUUUUGGCCAUCACCGCGGCACGGCCUUAUCGCGUUGGGCUACUAUUUUUCGCUAAAAGUGUCAUAACUUCUCUGCCGAGUAUUGGAUUUAGGAAAAAUUGGUAUCGUUGGAAAGCUAAUUCAAUUUUCUAUAGUUUGGUACGUAUGAUAUGGAAAAUUAUUAGUAGAUGAAAAGAUAUGCUCAUUUGAAGUAUACUAAAGCAACAUUCUUCUAAAAAAUUCAAUUAGUAAGGAUUAUUUUGUUUCAUCUAAUAGCUGGGAGUUAUUUGAAACCUUAAUAUACAUCAAACUCAUGCAUAACACUACCAAAGAACUAUAAUGUACUAUGAAUGAGCUUGAAAUAUGGCUCUAACAUUGGUUUGGAUUUUUGGGGUAUUACAACCCAUGACUCGGCGGCCAAGCCCCAGUUUGAGUUUGCCGCAAGGAUUGGGGUUUGUCAUUCAUACUAUUCCAUAAGGCCAUUGCUAGCGUACAAUCCCUAUUAUAGGACAUCAUAAAACCACAUUGAUAAAAUAUGGUUUCCAGCAAUGAGCCCUUACACUCAAAUGCCUUCCUCGGAUAACCACCUAACUCUCUUUAAGCCCAUUUUUAAUCUCCUUGAAACAUGCAUCUUUUAGUACUCAAAAUUUGAAAAUCAGGUUCCAUUAUGGCAUUCAUCUAUUUGAUAUCAUCAUACCAAGACUUGCAAGUCAUAUAUCUAAGCUAUAAAAUAUCAUGGUACAGUCUCUUUAUUCAAAACAUAAUGUUUGGACCACCAAAUUAUUCAAAUAGUAUAAGAGAAUUUGUAUUUCAAAAUACAUGAAAACUUACGCAAAGAUUCUCUCUUUCAAUUCUUAAACAUGUGGUGGUCAAUUAUUUUGUAGAAAACCAUGCAAUUCUUUCAAUAAUCAUCUUAAAUAUUUAAAAACAAGAAAACACUUGUAAAAUACGAAAUCACCCUCUCUUCAACCCACAACUAAGAUCUAGUUCAUAAACAACAUUAAAGCUCUUAUCUCAUGCUUUUAAUAAAUGCAGUUUCACCACCUCCAACAUGUAAAGUAAAGAAGUAUCAUAACAAGAGAGGGACAAAUUUUUCGCACAUGCUCUCAAUUAACUUUACAAAACUAAAAAUACUUAUACGUAUGCAAACAUGAUUCAAUUCUAUAAUGAGGCCUCAAGACCAAAAUGUAUAUUAUCAAAAGGGGUUCACAAUGUAUGCUUUUUGAUGUAUGAUAAUCCAAUUUAAUAAUGAAAAUUGUCAAAUUGACUCUCGGAAACAAAAAAGUCAAAUGCAUGCAUACGAACUUCUAGUAUUCGAGUAUGCUCGCCACUAUCAGUGCAAAUAGAGGUUGCCAAUGAAUAUGAACCUCGACCCUUCAUAAUUAAAUGAUUCCAUAACUUUAAACCUUACUCAAAAUAUUUUCAAUAAGCCCAUGUAGUUUAGGAAAACCCACGUACUUUAGAUGACUAAAUUCGAAGGAUGGACCCGAAUCUUGGAAAUUGACUUAAGAGCUUGAUUCUUGAUCUUUGGGGGAGGAGUUAGGGUUUUGUUCUUGAUGGAUUUAAGCAAUUUUGAGCAUAUAAUGUCCUAAUAAUGUUUUAAUCAGCUAUUAACACGGCUUGGGGUUAUAGAUAAAAGUCAAAACUAUCCUUUAAAAUUAAAUUUUUCAGCAGAAUCCCACUUUUGGAGCUCACCGCAAUGUGCUACCAUCACGGUGGUUUACUGGUUCUGACGAAAAUGAUCAUAACUUUUUAAUUAGGCAUCAGAUUAAGGAUAAAUUGGUAUCGUUGGAAAGCUGACUCAAUUAGCUACAAUUUAGUGGGUCUUAAGCUGAAAAGUUUUACAUAUAUCAAAAGUUAUACAUAUGCAAAGUUGACCCUUGUAGAAUCGAAUACCAAACUUUGGACGAUUCAAAGGCUCUUAGCUCAACUUUGCUCUAAGUGAUUUGUAUGAAUAUUUUUCACCUCAUAAUCACUUAAUAAUUAUACACAAACACACUCUUCAGAUGCAUCUUAUAUAUGUUGCAUUUAAUUUUUUUAAUUUCUUCUUUGUUCAAUGUUUUAUGUUAAGAAGUAUUGCUUUUCUUUAUCUUAUUCCAUCUCUUUUUUUGUUUUUGCUUUCUGUAAUUUUUAAAUUCAAUUAGUAUUUAUUCAUAUUUAUGACGUGUAUGCAAUGUAAUGAAAUAAAUUUGAUAUAAAAGAUUGUAUUUGUUUUUGUAGAGGAUAAUGACAAUGUGGAGGAACUUGAGUGAGAACGAUGAUAAUUGAAAAAAAGGAGUAAAAGAAAAAGAUCAAAAGACCAGUCUCUAUUUAUUAAAGUUUUUAGAGAGGAAAAGGGGUAGGAUGGAAAGAUAUAUGCAAGUAUGUAGGUAUGUAUUUUAUUAAUUUUCUUUUCUAUUUUAUUUCUUUUUCUACAUUUGUUCUUUCCAUUUUUAAUUUAUUUUUUUCUUUUGAGAGAAAAGAAAAAUUAGCAACCAAAAAAUACUAUAAAAAAACCUUAGAGAAAGAAACGAAAGAGGACAACAAUUUUUCUCACCCAUUCUUGUGUUUUGUUUUGCCAAACUAAUUUAUACAUGGAGUUUGAAAAUCAAAGUAAAAAUAUUUUACUGAACAAAUUUACACACAAUUUAUUACUAUGACAGUACUAUUUGAUAUAUUUAUAUAAUUCUGGUCACUAAAGAGAUGUUAUGACACUCUUAGUGAAGAGUAAAAGUACGUUUAUCCUUUAUCCUUUUAUUUUUAAAAUAGUUUUCAUUCCUUAUUUAUUUUAAGAAACUAAGAGGUUAAAUCUUGGUAACUUACGAUACCCUUGAUAAUGAAUUCAAUGUCUUUUAUUGUCAACAAAUUAAGUUUGCUACAUAUUAGUCAGAAGACGAGUUCAAAAAAAUAUAUGUCAUCAAUAAUUAUGUUUAAAAAAAAUAACCUCAUCGGCAUACUAAAGAUCCCGUGGAAUCAACAAAGAGACCAGAUCAAAAAAAUUUAUUGUAUGAAAUAUUUUUAUCUUAUCAUUUAUUCCUCCACCUAUCUCACCUAUAAGUUUUUUGACAAUUUUAAUUUCUUUCUUUAAUUGGUUUGUUCACCUGAAGAGCAUUAAACUGGACGGCAAAAAUAAAUAUGUCGCUUCUCAAUUAGCGGAGCAAAAUAAGUAAUGAAUAAUAUUAUUUUUAAGAAAAUUAAAGAAUUGAAGAAGAAAAGAAAAAUACAUUUGCUCAACAGAGAACAAAAAGGAUUUAAAGAGUAGGAAAAAGGAAAAAAGAAUAGAGAAGAAUAGAUUAUUGAAUGAAAGUAAUGUUUUAUCUUGAAUAGAAAAAAAUUGUAACUGUUUUGGCAUUCAUUUCUUUUAUUUAAGAAAAUAUUACUCCCUCUAAUUCAAUUUGUUUGGCUUAUUUUUAUUUUUUUCAUAUUAAAAAGAAUGAAUCUUUCUUUUUUUUAGGAACAGUUUGAUUUGAAUUUUUCGCACUGUCAUAUUUAAGAUCACAAGAUCAAAGAGAAUUUUGGAAUAUUUGAUAUAUCAUUAAUUUAAUAUCUAAAGAUUUAAAAAUUAUUCUUUACUUUCUUCAACUUCAUGCGAAUACAAAAUAUCAACAAAUUGAGACAAACAACGUAUGUAAGUAAAUUGUUGUAUUAUGAAAUGAAAAUAAAAUGAAAUACAUAUAUUACAAAGAAAAUAAAAUAGUUACAUACAAGCACAUAUAUUUAUGUCCGUGCGAAGUGCGGAUAUUUUUACUAAUGACUAAAUAGAAUAAGUUAAUUAAACAAGAGAUAAGAAGUAAGACGUUACUCAAUAACUCAAAAACUCUUGAAUUUUCACUAUAUGAAAGCUACUUCACAACCUAAGAGAAUAGGUAGAAAAAACUCCUAUUUAUAAUAGUACAUAAUCCAAUUGAACUAAAACAAAAAA